UAAUACAGAGGGGGCAAGCGUUGUUCGGAAUUACUGGGCGUAAAGGGCGCGUAGGCGGCCACCUAAGUCAGACGUGAAAUCCCUCGGCUCAACCGGGGAACUGCGUCUGAUACUGGGUGGCUUGAAUUCGGGAGAGGAAUGCGGAAUUCCAGGUGUAGCGGUGAAAUGCGUAGAUAUCUGGAGGAACACCGGUGGCGAAGGCGGCAUUCUGGACCGACAUUGACGCUGAGGCGCGAAAGCCAGGGGAGCAAACGGGAUUAGAUACCCCGGUAGUCCUGGCCCUAAACGAUGAAUGCUUGGUGUGGCGGGUAUCGAUCCCUGCCGUGCCGAAGCUAACGCAUUAAGCAUUCCGCCUGGGGAGUACGGUCGCAAGGCUG
rnacentral:rRNA from 1 species